rnacentral:rRNA from 1 species
GACAGAGGGUGCAAACGUUGUUCGGAAUUACUGGGCGUAAAGCGCGUGUAGGCGGCAGCGCAAGUCGGAUGUGAAAUCCCAUGGCUCAACCAUGGAAGUGCACCCGAAACUGCGUCGCUAGAGUCCUGGAGAGGAAGGUGGAAUGCUUGGUGUAGAGGUGAAAUUCGUAGAUAUCAAGCGGAACACCGGUGGCGAAGGCGGCCUUCUGGACAGUUCCUGACACUGAGGCACGAAGGCCAGGGGAGCAAACGGG